UNGCACUGAAUGGCCUCCCUACCAUUUGCCU
rnacentral:piRNA from 1 species